ACCCAACUGACGAGUCCCAGGCAGGACGAAAAGCGCAUCCUGGAU
rfam:Schistosoma mattheei strain Denwood, Zambia genome assembly, scaffold: SMTD_scaffold0001953